GUAAAUAUAGUUUAUAAAAACAUUAGACUGUGACUCUGAAAAUAGGGGUUAAAACCCCCUUAUUCACC
rnacentral:tRNA from 1 species